AUGGAUCCUAAUUAUUUUCAUUAUCAACAAACUUUGUUCAAUUACGUGCAAAAUUAUCAAAAUUCUCAAUUUCCAUCGGUGCCAACAAACUCCGCCAUAUUUUUUUCGUCACCAAACAAUCCAAAUAUGUAUCAUAGACCUCAAAUGAAUUCUAAUAGUAUAGAAUUUUUUCCUCAUAAACUGGAAACACCGAUUGGGUUUAAGUCUGGAUGUCAAGUUUCACCAUUUUCUACUCAAGUUGGUACUGAAAAAGAAGAAACAGUUGUCGUUAAAAAAAUCUCGAGAGCAAUUUACAAGAGAUGA
rnacentral:lncRNA from 1 species